GGGGGCAUAGCUCAAUGGUAGUUCACCUAUCUGCUUUGCAUACAGAAGGUCCCAGGUUCGAUUCCUGGUAUCCUCA
rnacentral:tRNA from 1 species